UUCUAAGAGAGCCCCUUGCCCCUUCUGUCAUGUGAGAUUACAGAGAAAAGGUGGCUGUCUGGGGAGCAGGCCCUCAGCAGAUGCAGAAAUGUGCCAGCACCGUGAUCUUGGACUUCCCAGCCUCCAGAACUGUGGUGUUUUAUUCCAGAAGAAAGUUGUUUCUUUUUAAGUCGAGGCCAGCAAGCAUUGAUAACAAUUCCUGUGGAAGGUUUCAUCUCCCUCCUGAGGCAUUGCGAAGUGUAAGUGACCGAAGGCCCAGCUGCUGUGCUCUGAAAUCCAUCAUGACAUUUGCACCAAGGCCGUGCUUCCUGGGGUGCUCUCAGUCACUGACCAAGUAUGGCAUGGAUGCUAAGGCCAGGCUGUUCCUGGGAGAUGCAGGACUCCUCUGGAUUCUGACCUCCCAGCAUCUUCGUCUGCUGUUGGUGGAACACCAUCUGCCGCGAAUGUAGCUGUCUCUCCACUAGAUAGUCUUUCACCUUUUGAAGCCUAGACAGGUUUCCAUCCAGCUCAACUCAAAUCAAGCUCUCCAAGUAGUCCCUUUGAAGCCACUGCCACUGGAUGGAGCAGCAGGAGAAAGGACUUGCUGUCCUCUGUCCUCCAGCUGCCCAGGACUUCUGCUGAAGACAGGGCAGAGCUACAACAGCCGGAGUGACUCUGGGAAACCCUCUCUGUACUCCAAGCAAGGAUGGUCCAGACUCCAGUGAGGAUGCCUUGGACAUGUGGGUGGGGCCGUCCUCAUGGGUAUGUGACCUGUGUAGUUGUAUAGAGCCUGUGUUCAGAAGAGACCCAUGCUUGGUCUAAUUCUCUGCUGUUACUGUCUUUAAAUUUUUAAUAAUGUUAUCUUUGAAUCUGUUCUUUGUACAUGAAAUGUGAUGGGACAAUGGAGCAUGCACAUGAACAGAGGAGAUACACGCAAUAUUCCUGUCUCCCACUCUCUGAUGCCUCUUUGCAUAUAGAAUUUGUGAUGUCCCCUGAACACAGAAUUUUGGUGGACUCACGAUGUGUGGGAAUUCAGAGAC
rnacentral:lncRNA from 1 species